CGCAUGCACACGCACACACACCCGAGCAGAGAUGAGAUUAAGCAAGAGGGAGAGCUUAAAAGAAGCAGAGGCAGCUCAAAGCCUGUUAACUAGUGCGUAAAGCCCAAGGAUGUCUCUACCCGGAGCUAAUGGCUUGCAGCGCGGCAGGGCUUUCAGACUAAUCGCACCAUUCUUCCCGUGCUCUGACAAUGCUGCUGGAUUUGAGCAUCUUUUUUCCUCCCCACCCUUCUGGCUUGGGCAGGGCUCCAAGAAAUACGCCUCCUCCCCAGAAAGCCACCCUGUGCUGCUGCCAGUGUUAUUUCCAAGUGUUUCUCUCAGGGAAAGCUGGGCAGCUAAUUCAGUGGGAGAAUGCAAGAGGAGUAAGAGAGGAAAAAGAGAGGGAGGGGAAAGGUUAAAAAAAAAAAGAAAAAAGAGGGAGGGGGGAGGGGAGGCAAAGCUGCUCGUUUCCAUGCUCUCACAUCCACAUGCAGAGCAGAGAAGGGUGGAUAGCAUGAAGCCUCUCCUCUGCUGUGCAGCAGCUCAGAGAAAAAGAAAAAUAAAUCAGAAGAGGAUGGAAAGGGGAGAUUUGGAAGGGCAGAGGUUCCCUGCACUUCAGGACUCCUGGCAGGCGAAGCGUGAGAGCUGUGAGUCAUGCAUCAAUCGGAGCCCUGCAUCAAUCGGAGCCCCGCGGCAGGAGAUCCAGAAGAGAAAAACUCUUUGUCUCUCCAUACAGCAUCCAGCAGUAUGGCAGUGCUGGCAUGGCUCCCAACUCAAACUCUCCAAAGAAGGCAAUUUUCACAGGACUACGAUUCAGAAUAAUUAAGACAAAGAAUCCCACAAACUAAGAACCCAGCUUUUUAUUACUAUGGCAACGUUGUUUGUCUUUCCUCAAGUGACUGAACUGAGAAAAUAAAAAAGAAAAAGAAAAUCAAUUUAAAAAGCAAUUGUUUUUCCUGUUGCCAAAGGAGCAAAGCUGGGAUGUGAGUUGGGGGUCCCAGCUCCCAGCAGACACCACAGAGGCCCUAGUAAGUAUCUGCUUUAGGAUGAGCUGAUUUGUUCCCUGGGUCUGGUUGGGUCAAAAAAAUCUCCAGGGUAUUCAAAGGGAGUGGAGAGAGCAAUGCACUAGGAGACCCCCACGGAGGGUCCUGAAGGGGGAUAUCCCCCAUCAGGAUAUCAGCACAUCCCCCAUGCUGAUGUAACAUUUGCUUUGGGAAGUGCUUUGUACAGGAAACUCAAAACAUCCGAGCAAUUUACUCUAGUGACGUGUUCUUGUCAGAGGAAAAGAGAAGCUGAUGUUGAUACAAAAGCUUCAAUCACUUGAGCAGAGAGAGAGGGACUUGGCUCUGCUCCCGGCAUGUCACAGUCAUGAGCAGCUUUCAGAUCCAGCUUCAAGCUCCUGCUGAGCGGCACAAGGACAUGUCAAGAUUUCCCAGCCCUAACUGACUUUGUUCAGCCAGCAGGUAGAAAACUUUUGCUUGUAUCAAGAGCAAAUCCCAGCUUGAAUCAUUAGAGUGAAUUAAUAAGGCUGCUCAGGGCUGUUAUAAUGGAGGUGUGAUUCUCACUGCUGCUCUCCCACCCACUUCCUCUCACUGGUGCUGGUGGCCCUGGGAUGUGACACUGGCAAUGCCAGCAGCAUGGUGGUGGUGCUUGGUCCCAACCAAUGCAGAGCCAGGAGCUGUGCCAUGAUUAUGGCACGAAUUGCGCUCAGCCUCUGCCUUUCCAGAAGCUUCUGGAGCUUGGGUUAGGUCUCUGGUGAUGCACUGGAGGACAAUAUGAAUGCAAGACAAUGUCAGUCUUGGGAGGUUUACUUUAAGCCUGUUUCAACUUCAUUUGGCAAAAAUUGUUCCAUUUCCUUAAGUCAGUGGUGGUCCUCAUUAUGGGGUUCUGGAGGGCAGCUGGACUUAAAAAAGACUCCCCAAACCUCUAUGUAUUGUGGGGACCAAUUUAUAUGUCUAGCUGAGUCCCCGACACCAUUAAACAUCUUGUUAUGGAAUGAGAGAUGGAUAAGGAAAGGGAGAAGAAGUCUACUCACAGUGUCUGCUUCCCAGGUCUUAUGCUACUGCCUGCACAUAUAUCAAUUUGUUUUUGCUUCCAGGUGUGCUGAAGGGGCCUAAUCCCUUCCCUUCCUUGGGGGUGUUGGAUGACUUAGUUGAUGUUUAUUCAAUGGUCUGUGAAGUAGCUGUGGACAGGGACUGUACCAGAUUAUGGUAUUUACUCUUCAGCAAGAUUAUUUCCAUGCCAGAGAGGAGCUGUUCCUGAACUGAAAAUACAAGUGUCACCCUAAAUCUUUGUCAUUUCUGAAAGGGAGGAAUAGAUUAAAUUUCUGUAUUCCUUUUGGAUAUAGUUUAAGUCAGAGCAAAGUGAUACAACAAUAACUGCAUAGAGCAGAGUUUUCCCUUUGCAGAACUGAGCUGUACAGGCUUUACUGCUCAGUGGAGCUGCCCAGACUCCCUUCAUGUUGCCCAGUAUGUGACAGGAGAGGGCCUUACCAUAUGCCUUUUGCUCUUGUGGAGCGACGUCAUGCCAGGCAACUUUCCAGUGUACUCAUUUCUGUACAGUUCUUGCAAAAAUCCUUGUACCUGUGAUACCUCUUGGGGUGCCACAAGUCCCAAUACCUGGUUCUACCAUACCACGAGGCAAGCUGAUCUUAGUGUAGAGCACUUUAAAUUAGCUUGAGCUUUCAUAAAAUGGGGCUGUAAUCCAGCUCACCAAGAGAGGCAUGUUGGCUCAGUAAUUAUCAUAGGUAUUCAUCCAAGGUUGGUAGAGAGACACAUGUAGAUUGCAUGAGGCUUUGUGUGGGCUGGGGAGGACAUGGGAGAAGCCCAUGGUACAAAGACCUGCUGAUGGUUACACAGAAACCAUCCCAGGAAUCUUCUAAGUGGAAAUGUUGUAGGUGUCUGGGGAGUAGAGGAAAAUUAUAUACACUUGCCCUGUUCAUCACCUGUAGGCAUCAUCAUAUGGCAGCACAGGAGAGGGCUGGAUCCUUGAUGAGCACAUUGAGAUCAUUCAUAUUCUGGCCUCCAGGAGCUGAGUGAGGAGGUGCUCAAACAUUUGCUGUGCUUGUCUUUCUCCAUUAGUAGGAGAAGCAGGAAGACAGGGAGUUUCACUGAGGUCCUACGUAACCUUAAGAGAGAAGAAAGGCUCAGAAAAACUGAAGCAGAGAUUUGCCUAUUUUCAAUGUGGAAAAAUGCAGACUGGGCUCAAUAGAUUUUUUGCAAGAUUUUCAUGUCAAAUACUGUGUCCAAAUUUACAACACCAAAUGAAAACAUCACAAAUUAAAACCAAAAGGAGAAGGACCUAAGACCUAAAUUGAAAUGAUCUGUUCCAUCUGCAGUUGACUUUUCCUGCUUGAUAUUUCAGACAUCCCAAAGAAAUGAAAAACAACUCCCUCUGGCGUCAGUUAUUAAUAAAUCUACUUGUGCAGUCUGGGCUUCCUGACCCAGCAGUAAAAGGUUUUGCAAGUUUACACCGACCUGACCAGACAGCAUCACUUACUUUCUCCUUGAUGUCCAUUGCUGGCAUUCCAUGAUAACUUCAUGCCAUGGUGAUUGGUCCCCUCUGUCUACCCUCUGGCUCCAGCCCUGCUGUCUUUGCUGGUCUCCUCUCUAUAGGAGGAACAGAAAGCUCACUCCAGAAGAUGGAGGAGCAAUUGCUUUUCCCUGGUUAAUGGCAUCAGGAAAACAAACAAACAAACAAACAAAGCAAAACAAGGAAACAAACAAUAUUUGAAGUAUCUUUAAAUUAAACAGAAGCAUUUCACUUUUGUUGAAUGUAACUUUCUGUGAAACUCAACAUGACCGCUAUUUUUUAGGGAAGGUUAAUAGUUUUAAUCAUAAAUUCUAAUAAAAUAAUAGCUUUGCCUCAUGUUUGGGGACAAAAAUUAUACAUUCAAAACAAAACCACAGCAAAGCAAUGAUUCCUAAACCCAGAUCAGAAAGAGAUAGACAUUUUAAUAUUUCCCUUUAAUUACUUUCCAGUGCACAUU